CCCCUAGAUGUUCUGGGCCGCACGCGCGCUACACUGAACAGUUCAACAAGUCUUAACCUUGGCCGACAGGCCUGGGCAAUCUUUGAACAUCGAUCGUGAUCGGGAUAGAUUCUUGUAAUUUUUGAUCUUAAACGAGGAAUUCCUAGUAAACGCAAGUCAUCAGCUUGCAUUGAUUACGUCCCUGCCCUUUGUACACACCGCCCGUCGCACCUACCGAUUGAAUGGUCCGGUGAAAUCUCCGGACUGGCGUGAGUCGGAGCAAUCUGACAAACGCCGGAAAGUUGAUUAAACCUUACCAUUUAGAGGAAGGUGAANUCGUANCA
rnacentral:rRNA from 1 species